UACGGAGGGUGCAAGCGUUGCUCGGAAUUAUUGGGCGUAAAGGGUAGGUAGGUGGUCUUAUUUGUCUGAGGUGAAAGCCUUGAGCUUAACUCAAGAAGUGCCUCAGAAACGGUGAGACUAGAGUACUGGAGAGGGUCGUGGAAUUCCCGGUGUAGCGGUGAAAUGCGUAGAGAUCGGGAGGAACACCAGAGGCGAAAGCGGCGACCUGGACAGUGACUGACACUCAACUACGAAAGCGUGGGGAGCAAACAGG
rnacentral:rRNA from 1 species